rnacentral:lncRNA from 1 species
AAAGAAGUAGGUCCAGUAAGACCCCUUUUUGGCCCAAAAAUAUAGCAGUUUUACAAAAUUGUUAAAAUAUAAACUUUUAGUUAUUUAUUGGACAGUAGAAUGCUUCUGCUACAUAAAUAUGGGCUGUUUUUGACAAUACAAUGCACAUAUCUCGGGUACUAGCACCAUUAAGUCAUGCUAAAUUUCUGAAAUCUUCACAAUUCUAGCAUUUUAGUUAACUUUU